rnacentral:rRNA from 1 species
ACACCGGCAGCUCAAGUGGUGGCCGUUUUUAUUGGGCCCAAAGCGUUCGUAGCCGGCCUGAUAAGUCUCUGGUGAAAUCCCGCAGCUUAACUGUGGGAAUUGCUGGAGAUACUAUCAGGCUUGAGGUCGGGAGAGGUUAGAGGUACUCCCAGGGUAGGGGUGAAAUCCUAUAAUCCUGGGAGGACCACCUGUGGCGGAGGCGUCUAACUGGAACGAACCUGACGGUGAGUAACGAAGGCCAGGGGCGCGAACCGGAUUAGAUACCCGGGUAGUCCUGGCCGUAAACGAUGUGGACUUGGUGUUGGGAUGGCCUCGAGCUGCCCCAGUGCCGAAGGGAAGCUGUUAAGUCCACCGCCUGGGAAGUACGGUCGCAAGACUGAA